rnacentral:rRNA from 1 species
AGAAUAAGCACCGGCUAACUACGUGCCAGCAGCCGCGGUAAUACGUAGGGUGCAAGCGUUAAUCGGAAUUACUGGGCGUAAAGCGUGCGCAGGCGGUUUUGCAAGACAGAUGUGAAAUCCCCGGGCUCAACCUGGGAACUGCAUUUGUGACUGCANGGCUAGAGUGCGGCAGAGGGGGAUGGAAUUCCGCGUGUAGCAGUGAAAUGCGUAGAUAUGCGGAGGAACACCGAUGGCGAAGGCAAUCCCCUGGGCCUGCACUGACGCUCAUGCACGAAAGCGUGGGGAGCAAACAGGAUUAGAUACCCUGGUAGUCCACGCCCUAAACGAUGUCAAC